rnacentral:rRNA from 1 species
AUUGAACGCUGGCGGCAGGCCUAACACAUGCAAGUCGAGCGAGCGGAGGAAGGGUGAGUAAUGUCUGGGAAACUGCCGGAUGGAGGGGGAUAACUACUGGAAAAGGUAGAUAAUACCGCACACCAUCAGAUGUGCCCAGAGGGGAUUAGCUAGUAGGUGGGGGAACGGAGCACGUAGGCGACGAUCCCUAGCUGGUCUGAGAGGAUGACCGGCAACACUGAAACUGAGCCACGGUCCAGACUCCUACGGGCGGCAGCAGUGGGGAAUAUUGCGGAAUGGGCGCAAGCCUGAUGCAGCCAUGCCGCGUGUGUGAAGAAGGCCUUCGGGUUGUAAAGCACGUUCAGCGGGGAGGCGUUACCCGCAGAAGAAGCACCGGCUAACUCCGUGCCAGCAGCCGCGGUAAUUC